AGGGCUGGAGUUUGGGGAGGGGCUAAGGGAAACCCCUUAGCCCCUCCCCAAACUCCAGCCCUUAACACAACUC